rnacentral:rRNA from 1 species
AUGAAAGAUAGGCUUGAUGCCCCACUGCAGUUGACUGCAUAUUUGCUGAAUCCACACUAUAGCUAUGUAGAUGGCGGCAUAUUUGAUUAUGUUUACAUCAAUACAACCUUUUAUUCUUGUGUGGAGACAUUCUAUCAUGGUGAUGAAAACAUGCAAGAAAAGGUUGUGAACUAUGAAAUAGGCAAGUUCCAAAGUAGAGAUGGAUCCUUUACAAAGAAGCUUGCUAGGACUUGCCAAAACUUUGACUACAAUCUUAUGGCUUGGUGGAGAAUGUAUGGAGGUGAGACACCAGGGCUGAAGUACAUGGCUAUGAAGAUCCUUUCUUUGACCUCAAGUUCUUCCGACUGUGAGAGAAAUUGGAGUUGUUUUGAGUCGAUACAUACCAAGAGAAGAAACUGACUUCCUACAGAUCGCCUCAAUCAGCUUGUGUAGAUCUAGUUCAACUCAAGGUUGUUAUCCAAGAAGAAAAAGAUCAAGCAGAGGAAGAACAUUGAUGUUCUCCUAAGUACUGAUGCAUCCGAAGCACAAGGCUUCUUGUCUGAGGGAUGAGAUGAUCAUGCUUUCAUGGUGUUUCCACAUGGAUAUGAGGGAGCAGAUGACAUACAUUGGAGUGUGGUUGGAGAUGCUAUGGGGUCCAGUGAACAACUUGAGCUUUGUCAAAGUGCGAGAGUUAGAGAUCUCCAUGAUAAAGAGUUUGAGUCAAACAAAGAAGAACUAGAGGAGACAGAUUUAGAGGAGGAGGAGGAGGAUAUAGAGUAUGAGGAUGAUGAAGAUGACGUGGUGAUUGGGCGCACUUAUGUGGAUGAUGACUGA